rnacentral:rRNA from 1 species
UACGUAGGGUGCAAGCGUUGUCCGGAAUUACUGGGCGUAAAGAGCUCGUAGGUGGUUUGUCGCGUCGUCUGUGAAAUCCCGGGGCUUAACUUCGGGCGUGCAGGCGAUACGGGCAUAACUUGAGUGCUGUAGGGGAGACUGGAAUUCCUGGUGUAGCGGUGAAAUGCGCAGAUAUCAGGAGGAACACCGAUGGCGAAGGCAGGUCUCUGGGCAGUUACUGACGCUGAGGAGCGAAAGCAUGGGUAGCGAAC